AUUGAACGCUGGCGGCAGGCCUAACACAUGCAAGUCGAGCGGAUGAAGGGAGCUUUCUCCUGGAUUCAGCGGCGGACGGGUGUGUAAUGCCUAGGAAUCUGCCUGGUAGUGGUGGAUAACGUCCGGAAACGGGCGCUAAUACCGCAUACGUCCUGAGGGAGAAAGUGGGGGAUCUUCGUACCUUACGCUAUCAUAUUAGCCUAGGUCGGAUUAGCUAGUUGGUGGGGUAAAGGCCUACCAAGGCGACGAUCCGUAACUGGUCUGAGAGGAUGAUCAGUCACACUGGAACUGAGACACGGAACAGAGUCCUACGGGAGGCAGCAGUGGGGAAUAUUGGACAAUGGGCGAAAGCCUGAUACAGCCAUGCCGCGUGUGUGAAGAAGGUCUUCGGAUUGUAAAGCACUUUAAGUUGGGAGGAAGGGAAGUAAGUUAAUACCUUGCUGUUUUGACGUUAACAACAGAAUAAGCACCGGCUAACUACGUG
rnacentral:rRNA from 1 species